CUCCAAGUCUCCAAGUCUCCUUCGCACUUGCUCCUGGCUGAUGGAUGAAAUGGAAUGUACUGGAAUAGGUGAUGUGUCUACAGUGCUGAUUGGCUCAAAGUAGCAGAAGAAAUCUAGGGAGCUGAGGAUCUCGGCUGCAGAUAACGUGAGAUGGUAUCUUUAAAGAAGUCUGACCUAGGUCCCCUGCAUCUAAGAAGCUGGCAUCGAAGUUGUUAGAAGAGUUAUUGGAAUGGGACUAACAGGAGAUGGUUGCCAGAGAAGGAUCCUGAAACUGUUAUCACAGCUAUACAAGGUCAAAUGAAGGGCAUAACCUUGGCAUGAAGAGGAAUUGGUAGAGGAGGGCUGAGCUACGGUCGAUGACCUUGGAGACAGAAUGCUGGUGAUAGAAUAGUGAAGCACAGCGCAGUGUUUAACUUGUCCGGACAUAGCUAGAGCAGGCUCACUGUAUGCCUGUCUAAUGAGGAAAUGGUCACAGGGAUGUUGAUGGCAGUCAGACCCCUUCACCACUGUCGGCCUUCUCUGCUUGGUGACAAAGACUCUGGGCUGUGUCUGUAGCACACGUGUUCCUCUGAUGGCCUCAUUUAGGAUACUGUUGAAAUAAAGCUUGCUACAGCAAUGCCCAAUGGCACGACUCAUAAUUAGUCUGAAUAACAUUUUCCAUUUUAAACCCUGAUUUUUUUUAUGGGAUUUACUGCUUGGCCCAUAAAAUCUCGUUCUAAACCGAGACCUGGCAUAAUUUUUAGCAUAAGCAAAUAUACCGUAGCUAUAAAUCACGAGCUCCAGUCUUGACCCUAGAAGGUGAAGAGCAAGCUCACGUGAACCAAGGCAGAGGCAACAGGCUUGGGUGAGUGGCACAGGGUCUUUGAUGUCGCUAGUGUUGCUCCCACGCUGCCCAACAUCAGCAGCCAACUUGGAACAGGGCAGUGCCAUGAUGAUUCAGAGAACGGACUCCCAAGGAACACGCAUCUUUUUGGACUUGUGCAUGCGUACACAGGUGUGCCUAGAUCAUGAACCGAUUAAUGACUUUCUAGAGAAGACAAGAAUGGCGUGAAUUAGGGCACCUUUCCCUUUUGGACUUGAUAUGGCAUGAUAUGAGGCUCUCUGAAUAAAGUUCUUAAGGAGGGAUGGUAUGUUUUGUGAUCAAACAUGCCUGGUUGGAAUUCCAGCACCUGUUUUUAUGUCCUCCGGGUCCUUCCAUCACUGAAAGACACUGGCCGUCAGCCACCAGAGUAAACAUUCUUAUUUCAAGUCCUUUACCCAGGGUCAGAUUUUGCCCUGUGCUGCAGUGGCUCUUCAAGCAGGUCCCCCGAGCAGCACCUGUUGCUCUGCAGCUCAUUACAAAUGGAUACUGGGACCAUUCCCAGGCUCCGCUGAACUGGAAACGGUGGAAUGAUGCCCAGAAAUCUGUCUCUUAAUCACUGAUUCCGAUGACUGCCACAGUUAAGAACCACUGGUGCGGUGGCUUGGACGAAGUGCCCUGAGAUCACAGAGACUUUUGCCGCAGCUCAGAUCUUGAAUGACUGACUCCCAACUCCUUUGUGUUCAAGGCAUGCCCUCAGCCUUUAGUGCUAUUGGGGGUGGUAGAAAUUUUACGACAUGGGCCAUGUGGAAGGAAGUUAGGUCACAGAGACACUGAAAUCCUAUUCUUUCUCCUCCCUGCUCCUGGCUUCCUAGUUGCUCAUCGUGAGUAGCAAUCGUGCACCCCCAUGCUCUUGUCCUGAAGUACUGCUGCACAUUACAUAAAACCAACACAGGCUGUGCACACACAACCCGGCUCUAUCGCUGGGCUCUCUAAUCUUUGGCACUCUUUAACCUCCCUGACCCUCAGUUGCUUUAGUUAUAAAAUGGACACAAUAAUAAAGAAUGUGAAAAUAAGCACCUUAUAGAGUUUCUAAAAUUUAUUUAUUUACUUAUUAUUUUUUUGAGCCAGG
rnacentral:lncRNA from 1 species